UACUACAGCCAUGCCACCCUGAACACACCCGAUCCCAUCUGAUCUCGGAAGCUAAGCAGGGUCGGGCCUGGUUAGUACUUGGAUGGGAGACCACCAAGGAAGACUGGGUGCUGUAGGUG
rnacentral:rRNA from 1 species